CACAGCUCCAAGGUAUAAUGACUUAGCAUCUCUCCCACUCUGUCACAGCUCCAAGGUAUAAUGACUUAGCAUCUCUCCCACUGUCACAGCUCCAAGGUAUAAUGACUUAGCAUCUCUCCCACACUGUCACAGCUCCAAGGUAUAAUGACUUAGCAUCUCUCCCACACUGUCACAGCUCCAAGGUAUAAUGACUUAGCAUCUCUCCCACUCUGUCACAGCUCCAAGGUAUAAUGACUUAGCA